UACGUAGGGUGCGAGCGUUGUCCGGAAUUAUUGGGCGUAAAGAGCUCGUAGGCGGUUUGUCACGUCGGGUGUGAAAGCCCGGGGCUUAACCCCGGGUCUGCAUUCGAUACGGGCAGACUAGAGUGUGGUAGGGGAGAUCGGAAUUCCUGGUGUAGCGGUGAAAUGCGCAGAUAUCAGGAGGAACACCGGUGGCGAAGGCGGAUCUCUGGGCCAUUACUGACGCUGAGGAGCGAAAGCGUGGGGAGCGAACAGG
rnacentral:rRNA from 1 species